UUGAACGCUGGCGGCAAGGCCUAACACAUGCAAGUCGAAUGGUAACAGGAAACAGCUUGCUGUUUCGCUGACGAGUGGCGGACGGGUGAGUAAUGUCUGGGAAACUGCCUGAUGGAGGGGAUAACUACUGGAAACGGUAGCUAAUACCGCAUAACGUCGCAAGACCAAAGAGGGGGACCUUCGGGCCUCUUGCCAUCAGAUGUGCCCAGAUGGGAUUAGCUAGUAGGUGGGGUAACGGCUCACCUAGGCGACGAUCCCUAGCUGGUCUGAGAGGAUGACCAGCCACACUGGAACUGAGACACGGUCCAGACUCCUACGGGAGGCAGCAGUGGGGAAUAUUGCACAAUGGGCGCAAGCCUGAUGCAGCCAUGCCGCGUGUAUGAAGAAGGCCUUCGGGUUGUAAAGUACUUUCAGCGGGGAGGAAGGGAGUAAAGUUAAUACCUUUGCUCAUUGACGUUACCCGCAGAAGAAGCACCGGCUAACUCCGUG
rnacentral:rRNA from 1 species